rnacentral:rRNA from 1 species
UACGUAGGGUGCAAGCGUUAAUCGGAAUUACUGGGCGUAAAGCGUGCGCAGGCGGUGAUGUAAGACAGGUGUGAAAUCCCCGGGCUUAACCUGGGAACUGCAUUUGUGACUGCAUCGCUGGAGUGCGGCAGAGGGGGAUGGAAUUCCGCGUGUAGCAGUGAAAUGCGUAGAUAUGCGGAGGAACACCGAUGGCGAAGGCAGUCCCUGGGCCUGUACUGACGCUCAUGCCACGAAAGCGUGGGGAGCAAACAGG